CGAAGGAGGCCGGAUCCUGGUCUGUGUCCGGCGCCCUGUGCUGGGGCCUGCGCUGUUGGAUUCGCGCUCCCGCCGCAGACCCCUCC
rnacentral:pre_miRNA from 1 species